UUCUGUGCAAAAGAAGCAAGGAUACGAGUUGUGGCAGCUGAAGGGCUUGAAUGAGCUUGGUGGCAGUUUAAAAGUAGAAAAUCUUGAGAAUGUUUCAUAAAAG